rnacentral:rRNA from 1 species
UUGGAGGGCAAGUCUGGUGCCAGCAGCCGCGGUAAUUCCAGCUCCAAUAGCGUAUAUUAAAGUUGUUGCAGUUAAAAAGCUCGUAGUUGAAUUUCGGGAUUGACACAUCGGUCGUGCCUUAAGGGGUAUGAACUGGUGUAGUCAGUUUCUCACCUUCUGGAGAUCCGCGAUGUCCUUAAUUGGGUGCCGCGAGGAACCAGGACCUUUACUUUGAAAAAAUUAGAGUGUUUAAAGCAGGCAUUUUGCUUGAAUACAUUAGCAUGGAAUAAUAAAAUAGGACGGAUGGUUCUAUUUUGUUGGUUUCUAGGAUCACCGUAAUGAUUAAUAGGGAUAGUUGGGGGCAUUAGUAUUCAAUUGUCAGAGGUGAAAUUCUUGGAUUUAUUGAAGACUAACUACUGCGAAAGCAUUUGCCAAGGAUGUUUUCAUUAAUCAAGAACGAAAGUUAGGGGAUCGAAGACGAUCAGAUACCGUCGUAGUCUUAACCAUAAACUAUGCCGACUAGGGACCGGACGGUGUUAUUUUUUGACCCGUUCGGCACCUUACGGGAAACCAAAGUGUUUGGGUUC